UGGGGAAUAUUGCACAAUGGGCGAAAGCCUGAUGCAGCAACGCCGCGUGAGUGAUGAAGGCCUUCGGGUUGUAAAGCUCUGUCUUUUGGGACGAUAAUGACGGUACCAAAGGAGGAAGCCACGGCUAACUACGUGCCAGCAGCCGCGGUAAUACGUAGGUGGCAAGCGUUGUCCGGAUUUACUGGGCGUAAAGGAUGCGUAGGCGGAUUUUUUAAGUGAGAUGUGAAAACCCUAAGCUUAACUUGGGGACUGCAUUUCAUACUGGAAAUCUAGAGUGCGGGAGAGGAGAAUGGAAUUCCUAGUGUAGCGGUGAAAUGCGUAGAGAUUAGGAAGAACACCAGUGGCGAAGGCGAUUCUCUGGACCGUAACUGACGCUGAGGCAUGAAAGCGUGAGUAGCAAACAGGAUUAGAUACCCUGGUAGUCCACGCCGUAAACGAUGAGUACUAGGUGUAGGAGGUUAUCGACCCCCUUCUGUGCCGCAGUUAACACAAUAAGUACUCCGCCUGGGGAAGUACGAUCGCAAGAUUAAAACUCAAAUGAAUUGACGGGGGUCAUAGCUGUUUUCCUG
rnacentral:rRNA from 1 species